rnacentral:rRNA from 1 species
UACAGAGGUCUCAAGCGUUGUUCGGAUUCAUUGGGCGUAAAGAGCUCGUAGGCGGUCUGUCGCGUCGGAUGUGAAAGCCCGGGGCUUAACCCCGGGUCUGCAUUCGAUACGGGCAGACUAGAGUGUGGUAGGGGAGAUCGGAAUUCCUGGUGUAGCGGUGGAAUGCGCAGAUAUCAGGAGGAACACCAAUGGCGAAGGCAGAUCUCUGGGCCGUAACUGACGCUGAGGAGCGAAAGCAUAGGGAGCGAACAGG